rnacentral:rRNA from 1 species
GCGAACGCUGGCGGCAGGCCUAACACAUGCAAGUCGAACGAACCUUUCGGGGUUAGUGGCGGACGGGUGAGUAACACGUGGGAACGUGCCUUUAGGUUCGGAAUAACUCAGGGAAACUUGUGCUAAUACCGAAUGUGCCCUUCGGGGGAAAGAUUUAUCGCCUUUAGAGCGGCCCGCGUCUGAUUAGCUAGUUGGUUGAGGUAAUGGCUCACCAAGGCGACGAUCAGUAGCUGGUCUGAGAGGAUGAUCAGCCACAUUGGGACUGAGACACGGCCCAAACUCCUACGGGAGGCAGCAGUGGGGAGUCUUGCGCAAUGGGCGAAAGCCUGACGCAGCCAUGCCGCGUGAAUGAUGAAGGUCUUAGGAUUGUAAAAUUCUUUCACCGGGGACGAUAAUGACGGUACCCGGAGAAGAAGCCCCGGCUAACUUCGUG